UCCCAGCCACAGGCUCACGAACAAAUUGUUCACGAAACUAUGGCUGGGCAGUCUAAAGUGACAUAUAUAACACUUUACAGGGGUUGCGCUCGUUUCCCGACUGAACGGAACAUCUUACGACACGAGCUGACGACAACCAUGCAGCACCUGGUCUAGCGGCCUCGAAGGACUUCUCAUUUCUGAGAUCUCCAGCUAGAUUUCAAACCCUGGUGAGGUGCCUCGCUUACCGUCGAAUUAAACCACAUGCUCCACCACUUGUGCGGAUCCCCGUCUAUUCCUUUGAGUUUUAAGCUUGCGCUCGUACUUCCCAGGCGGCAUAUUUAACGCGUUAGCUACGGCACAGAAAGGGUCGAUUCUCCCUGCACCUAAUAUGCAUCGUUUAGGGCGUGGACUA
rnacentral:misc_RNA from 1 species